rnacentral:rRNA from 1 species
UACAGAGGUCCCGAGCGUUGUUCGGAUUCACUGGGCGUAAAGGGUGCGUAGGUGGUUGGGUAAGUUUGAUGUGAAAGCUCAGGGCUUAACCCUGAAAUGGCAUUGAAUACUACUUAACUGGAGGUUUGGAGGGGGGACUGGAAUUCUUGGUGUAGCAGUGAAAUGCGUAGAUAUCGUAAGGAAGACCAGUGGCGAAGGCGGGUCUCUGGACAGUUCCUGACGCUGAGGCACGAAGGCCAGGGGAGCAAACGGG